AUUGAACACUGGCGGCAGGCCUAACACAUGCAAGUCGAGCGGAUGACGGGAGCUUGCUCCUUGAUUCAGCGGCGGACGGGUGAGUAAUGCCUAGGAAUCUGCCUGGUAGUGGGGGACAACGUUUCGAAAGGAACGCUAAUACCGCAUACGUCCUACGGGAGAAAGCAGGGGACCUUCGGGCCUUGCGCUAUCAGAUGAGCCUAGGUCGGAUUAGCUUGUUGGUGAGGUAAUGGCUCACCAAGGCGACGAUCCGUAACUGGUCUGAGAGGAUGAUCAGGCACACUGGAACGGGGACACGGUCCGGGCUCCUACGGGAGGCAGCAGGGGGGAAUAUUGUACAAUGGGCGAAAGCCUGAUCCAGCCAUGCCGCGUGUGUGAAGAAGGUCUUCGGAUUGUAAAGCACUUUUGGUGGGAACGAAACGGCGCUUGCUAAUACCAGGCGCUAAUGACGGUACCCGCAGAAUAAGCACCGGCUAACUACGUGCCAGCCGCCGCGGUAA
rnacentral:rRNA from 1 species